rnacentral:rRNA from 1 species
UGUGGCAUUCAUAUCGUAGUGGAUACACCUGUUCCCAUACCGAACACAGAAGUUAAGCACUAUGGAGCUGAUUGUAGCUAGAAAUAGUAAGAGUAAGUAGAUGUCACGC